UGAGGGAAAGUUGCAAAGAACUUUGAAGAGAGAGUUCAAGAGUACGUGAAACUGCUCAGAGGCAAACGGGUGGGCCCUCGAAAUCCAAUCGGGGGGGGAUUCAGUCGGUGGUGCGAAGUGCGUCGAGGCGGUCGAGGACUUGAUUGGACUCCCGACUCCGCCGAUGUGCGCCUUGCCGACGCAAUUCCCUCCCUGCCACGGACGCCGCAGCCGGUCGGGAGUCCGCCGUGAGGACGUGCGACGGCAGUUGGCGGGAGGCGCGGUCCGCCCGCGCCCUCCCGUUGUUAGCCAGCUUGCGUUCCGGUACGCGGGACGCCCGACCGAGGUACAAGAACGAACCUCCGGGUUCGUGCCGGGUCCUCGUCUGAACGAGCGUGGUCGCGAGCCCCAGGGAGAUCUAUCUGCCGCGGUACGAGCGGAGCCACAUCACAGGAUGUGGCCGGCUCCCGUCGAGCAUCCCGUUCGGGGCCUGAACCCGCGGAAGACGGUGAGAGAAAGAAAUCUGGCUUGCGGCGAGUARGUCGGUCACCCACCCGACCCGUCUUGAAACACGGACCAAGGAGUCUAACAUGUGCGCGAGUCGCAGGGUCUUGGACAGGCCCUCGGGCGCAAUGAAAGUGAAGGCGGAGUUCGGCUCUCGCCCCUAGUUGGGAUCCCGCGCCGCCUGCGAGAGGCGCGGGCGCACCAGCGGCCCGUCGCAUCCGGCUCUGUCCGGUGAGGCGGAGCUUGAGCGCACACGUUGGGACCCGAAAGAUGGUGAACUAUGCCCGGGCAGGACGAAGUCCGAGGAACUCUGGUGGAGGUCCCACCGCUCUGACGUGCAAUCUAUCGUCCGA
rnacentral:rRNA from 1 species